rnacentral:rRNA from 1 species
AGGACGAACGCUGGCGGCGUGCUUAACACAUGCAAGUCGAGCGGAAAGGCCCUUCGGGGUACUCGAGCGGCGAACGGGUGAGUGACACGUGAGCAACCUGCCCCUGGCUCUGGGGAUAGCCUCCGGAAACGGGGAUUAAUACCGGACAUGACCCUUGACCGCAUGGUUGGGGGUGGAAAGUUUUCGGCCAGGGUGGGCUCGCGGCCUAUCAGCUUGGUGGGGGGGUGACGGCCCACCAAGGCGACGACGGGUAG